CUACGGGGGGCUCCAGUGGGGAAUAUUGCACAAUGGAGGAAACUCUGAUGCAGCAACGCCGCGUGAGGGAAGAAGGUUUUCGGAUUGUAAACCUCUGUCCUCGGUGAAGAAAAAAAUGACGGUAGCCGAGGAGGAAGCCACGGCUAACUACGUGCCAGCAGCCGCGGUAAUACGUAGGUGGCAAGCGUUGUCCGGAUUUACUGGGUGUAAAGGGUGCGCAGGCGGGACUGCAAGUUGGAUGUGAAAUGCCGAGGCUCAACCUCGGAGCUGCAUCCAAAACUGUGGUUCUUGAGAGAUGUAGAGGUAAGCGGAAUUCCGAGUGUAGCGGUGAAAUGCGUAGAUAUUCGGAGGAACACCAGUGGCGAAGGCGGCUUACUGGGCAUUUUCUGACGCUGAGGCACGAAAGUGUGGGGAGCAAACAGGAUUAGAUACCCUAGUAGUC
rnacentral:rRNA from 1 species